AAGAAGAAGAAGAAGAAGAAGCGCUAUGCUAACCGGAUGUUGCUAAUGAAGCUAAAUAGAGCGCGUUGAAGGCGGAGGAGAGGCGAGAGUUUUCCCAUGUGAAUGCGGCUUUUUUUUUAGUGUUAUCAUUGAAUCGUGCAGGAACCCUUAUCUCAUCAUGGAGGAGGUCCCAUCCUGAAACACAACAACUUCAAUGUAGCAAAGCGUGUAGAAAUGCAAUAAUCCUCACACAGACGUUGGUAUGACCAACCUCCAGGCUGGGAGGAAUGGCCAGGGGACGGGCCACCAUUUCCAAAGCAGGACUGUGAGAAAUUCCUUCACUUUUGGUAACUAUUAUCACACUCUAUGAUCUGUUUAACUGGAAAUGUAUUUCUUCUCACUUUUUCACCCAUUUAUCCAUCGUGUAAAGUUAGAUUUUGUGUCAGAAACUAUUUUGCUUGAUUUAUGUGGAUGUAAAUGUACCUCUUCUCAAAAAACAAACCUAGAAUUGUUCUAAAA